rnacentral:rRNA from 1 species
GACGAACGCUGGCGGCGUGCUUAACACAUGCAAGUCGAACGAUGAAGCCUAGCUUGCUAGGUGGAUUAGUGGCGAACGGGUGAGUAAUACGUGAGUGACCUACCUUUGACUCUGGGAUAAGCCUGGGAAACUGGGUCUAAUACCGGAUACGACCAAUCUCCGCAUGGGGUGUUGGUGGAAAGCGUUAUGGAGUGGUUUUAGAUGGGCUCACGGCCUAUCAGCUUGUUGGUGAGGUAAUGGCUUACCAAGGCGACGACGGGUAGCCGGCCUGAGAGGGUGACCGGCCACACUGGGACUGAGACACGGCCCAGACUCCUACGGGAGGCAGCAGUGGGGAAUAUUGCACAAUGGGCGCAAGCCUGAUGCAGCGACGCCGCGUGAGGGAUGACGGCCUUUCGGGUUGUAAACCUCUGUUAGCAUCGAAGAAGCGAAAGUGACGGUAGGUGCAGAGAAAGCGCCCGCUAACUAACA